UUAAUUGAAGAGUUUGAUCAUGGCUCAGAUUGAACGCUGGCGGCAGGCCUAACACAUGCAAGUCGAGCGGCAGCACAAGGGAGUUUACUCCUGAGGUGGCGAGCGGCGGACGGGUGAGUAAUGCCUAGGGAUCUGCCCAGUCGAGGGGGAUAACAGUUGGAAACGACUGCUAAUACCGCAUACGCCCUACGGGGGAAAGAGGGGGACCUUCGGGCCUCUCGCGAUUGGAUGAACCUAGGUGGGAUUAGCUAGUUGGUGAGGUAAUGGCUCACCAAGGCGACGAUCCCUAGCUGUUCUGAGAGGAUGAUCAGCCACACUGGGACUGAGACACGGCCCAGACUCCUACGGGAGGCAGCAGUGGGGAAUAUUGCACAAUGGGGGAAACCCUGAUGCAGCCAUGCCGCGUGUGUGAAGAAGGCCUUCGGGUUGUAAAGCACUUUCAGUAGGGAGGAAAGGGUGAGUCUUAA
rnacentral:rRNA from 1 species